rnacentral:rRNA from 1 species
UACGUAGGGUGCGAGCGUUAAUCGGAAUUACUGGGCGUAAAGCGUGCGCAGGCGGUUCGUUAAGUCAGCUGUGAAAGCCCCGAGCUUAACUUGGGAAUUGCGGUUGAAACUGGCGGACUAGAAUCUGGCAGAGGGGGGUGGAAUUCCGGGUGUAGCGGUGGAAUGCGUAGAGAUCCGGAAGAACACCGGUGGCGAAGGCGGUCUGCUGGGGUAAUGCUGACACUGAUGCGCGACAGCGUGGGGAGCAAACGGG